rnacentral:rRNA from 1 species
GUUGGGUAGGGGAGCGUUCUGUAAGCCUGCGAAGGUGUACUGUGAGGUAUGCUGGAGGUAUCAGAAGUGCGAAUGCUGACAUAAGUAACGAUAAUGCGGGUGAAAAACCCGCACGCCGGAAGACCAAGGGUUCCUGUCCAACGUUAAUCGGGGCAGGGUGAGUCGACCCCUAAGGCGAGGCUGAAAAGCGUAGUCGAUGGGAAACGGGUUAAUAUUCCCGUACUGGUGGUAACUGCGAUGGGGGAACGGAGAAGGCUAGGUUGUCCGGGCGACGGUCGUCCCGGUUCAAGCAGGUAGGCAGAGUGAUUAGGCAAAUCCGGUCACUUAAUGCUGAGAUGUGAUGACGAACCACCAAGGUGGUGAAGCAAUUGAUGCCCCGCUUCCAGGAAAAGCCUCUAAGCUUCAGGUUACCAACAAUCGUACCCCAAACCGACACAGGUGGUCAGGUAGAGAAUACUCAGGCGCUUGAGAGAACUCGGGUGAAGGAACUAGGCAAAAUGGUGCCGUAACUUCGGGAGAAGGCACGCUGGCGGUAGGUAAAGUCCCUCGCGGACGGCGCUGAAGCCAGUCGAAGAUACCAGCUGGCUGCAACUGUUUAUUAAAAACACAGCACUGUGCAAACACGAAAGUGGACGUAUACGGUGUGACGCCUGCCCGGUGCUGGAAGGUUAAUUGAUGGGGUCAGCCGUAAGGCGAAGCUCCUGAUCGAAGCCCCAGUAAACGGCGGCCGUAACUAUAACGGUCCUAAGGUAGCGAAAUUCCUUGUCGGGUAAGUUCCGACCUGCACGAAUGGCGUAAUGAUGGCCAGGCUGUCUCCACCCGAGACUCAGUGAAAUUGAACUCGCUGUGAAGAUGCAGUGUACCCGCGGCAAGACGGAAAGACCCCGUGAACCUUUACUAUAGCUUGACACUGAACAUUGAGCCUUGAUGUGUAGGAUAGGUGGGAGGCUUUGAAGUGUGGACGCCAGUCUGCAUGGAGCCAACCUUGAAAUACCACCCUUUAACGUUUGAUGUUCUAACCUAGGCCCAUAAACUGGGUCGGGGACCGUGUCUGGUGGGUAGUUUGACUGGGGCGGUCUCCUCCUAAAGAGUAACGGAGGAGCACGAAGGUUGGCUAAGCAUGGUCGGACAUCAUGCGGUUAGUGCAAAGGCAUAAGCCAGCUUGACUGCGAGAGUGACGGCUCGAGCAGGUACGAAAGUAGGUCUUAGUGAUCCGGUGGUUCUGAAUGGAAGGGCCAUCGCUCAACGGAUAAAAGGUACUCCGGGGAUAACAGGCUGAUACCGCCCAAGAGUUCAUAUCGACGGCGGUGUUUGGCACCUCGAUGUCGGCUCAUCACAUCCUGGGGCUGAAGUAGGUCCCAAGGGUAUGGCUGUUCGCCAUUUAAAGUGGUACGCGAGCUGGGUUUAGAACGUCGUGAGACAGUUCGGUCCCUAUCUGCCGUGGGCGUUGGAAGAUUGAGAGGGGUUGCUCCUAGUACGAGAGGACCGGAGUGAACGCACCACUGGUGUUCGGGUUGUCAUGCCAAUGGCAUUGCCCGGUAGCUAAGUGCGGAAGAGAUAACCGCUGAAAGCAUCUAAGCGGGAAACUUGCCUCGAGAUGAGUCUUCCCUGUCGCUUUAAGUGACCUAAAGGAACGUUUAAGACUAAGACGUUGAUAGGCUGGGUGUGUAAGCGUAGCGAUACGUUGAGCUAACCAGUACUAAUGAACCGUGAGGCUUAACCUG